AUGGAUGAAGGUGUGAAACCUAGGUCAUCUGCAGCGCCUUCACCAAGGUCACCUGCGAUGAUGUUAAUGAGGCCACAAAAUUCAGGGCACACAACCAAUCUACAACCCCAAUUUGUCCAGAACAUUGGUCCUCCUAUACCCCCUCCGAACUGGAUUAGUAAAGCUCCAGACACGGAUGGAGUAUAUGCUAGGCAUCAAGAAGCUGCAUUAGGGGGAGCUUAUGAUAAACCCAUUAAGAAGGUGUACCAAAUUAAAACUCGUAAUCCCCAAGAUAUGCCAGAACAGGGGAAUCAAUGGUGA